CGCCUGAAAUCCGAGUUUCGUUUCAAGCCAACCUGGACAACUGCUGUAUGAGGCGCUGUUUCUCAGGAGGAUCAGUGGGAAGGCGUCAGGUCAUGCAGAUGAUAGCAUCAAUUUCACAAUGCCCAGCCUUGGUGCCCUCCAUCAAGAGCAAGCCACUUGCGUUUGCCUUCAUGCAGAUGGUUGAUGUCUUCUAGGAAGUAUUUGGGAAGACAACAUUGAUGCAAGAUUCCAGCAAUGCCAUGCGCUGCAUUUAUUGGUCAAGAUGCUCAGAGAAUGGAGUCCCUGCACCUCGGGGUUAAACGUAAACAUUUUUUUUUCUUUUGGAAAGCUAAACGUCAUUUGCUGUAUCAAUUGCAUUCUUGCAGCUCAGAUGUGUACUAUAUUUUUUCUAAUUUUGAAUCAAUUAAUAUUCACUGUUCAGUAUACAAAUGACGUACAGUGUGAAGGACAAGGACUGCGAGAGAUGACAUACACUGCGCUGACUUCCAACAAUAUUUUAUUGCGUUGCCACAUCGUGUGUUUAUACACAAGGGUCAUGCGCAGAAAAUGAAA
rnacentral:lncRNA from 1 species